CGGCACAGAGGGAAGCCAGGUGGCGACACCGCGCGGAACCCGAACGCCGUUCUCAGUUCGGAUCGGAGUCUGCAACCCGACUCCGUGAAGCUGGAUUCGCUAGUAAUCGCGCAUCAGCCAUGGCGCGGUGAAUACGUUCCCGGGCCUUGUACACACCGCCCGUCAAGCCAUGGGAGCCGGGGGUGCUUGAAGUGCGUCGCCGCAAGGCGCGCCCUAGAGCAAAACCGGUGACUGGGGCUAAGUCGUAACAAGGUAAC
rnacentral:rRNA from 1 species